rnacentral:rRNA from 1 species
AACGAACGCUGGCGGCAUGCCUAACACAUGCAAGUCGAACGAGACCUUCGGGUCUAGGGGCGCACGGGUGCGUAACGCGUGGGAACCUUCCCUUAUGUUCGGAAUAACUCUCCGAAAGGGGUGCUAAUACCGGAUAAUGUCUUCGGACCAAAGAUUUAUCGCCUUGGGAUGGGCCCGCGUUGGAUUAGCUGGUUGGUAGGGUAAAAGCCUCCCAAGGCGACGAUCCAUAGCUGGGCUCAGAGGAUGAUCAGCCACUCUGGGACUGGGACGCGGCCCAGACUCCUCCGGGAGGCAGCAGUGGGGAAUAUUGGAACACGGGCGGAAGCCUGAUCGAGCACUGCCGCGUGAGUGAUGAAGGCCUUAGGGUUGUAAAGCGCUUUUAACCGGGAUGAUAAUGACAGUACCGGGAGAAUAAGCUCCGGCUAACUCCGUG